ensembl:lncRNA
GGGGGGGGGGAUUGGGGGUAUAUCUGUGUCUGGAGGGGUCUAUGGGGGAUCUAUAGGGGAUGGGAGGGUAUAUAGGGGAUAUAUGUGGGUUAUGGGGGGGGAUUGGGGGUAUAUCUGUGUCCGGAGGGGUCUAUGGGGGAUCUAUAGGGGAUAUAUAGGGCUUGGGGGGGGAUUGGGGGUCUCUCUGUGUCCGGAGGGGUCUAUGGGGGAUCUGUAGGGGAUGGGAGGGUAUAUAGGGGAUAUAUGUGGGUUAUGGGGGGGGGGAUUGGGGGUAUAUCUGUGUCCGGAGGGGUCUAUGGUGGAUCUAUAGGGGAUAUAUAGGGCUUGGGGGGGGAUUGGGGGUCUCUCUGUGUCCGGAGGGGUCUAUGGGGGAUCUAUACGGGAUAUAUAGGGGUCGGGGGGGGGGGGGGGGAUUGGGGUAUAUCUGUGUCUGGAGGGGUCUAUGGGGGAUCUAUAGGGUUUGGGGGGGGGGAUUGGGGGUAUAUCUGUGUCCGGAGGGGUCUAUGGGGGAUCUGUAGGGGAUGGGAGGGUAUAUAGGGGAUAUAUGGGGGUUAUGGGGGGGGGGAUUGGGGGUAUAUCUGUGUCCGGAGGGGUCUAUUGGGGGAUCUAUAGGGGUUGGGGGGGAUUGGGGUAUAUCUGUGUCUGGAGGGGUCUAUGGGGGAUCUAUAGGGGUUGGGGGGGAUUGGGGUAUAUCUGUGUCUGGAGGGGUCAAUGGGGGAUCUAUAGGGGAUAUAUAGGGGUUGGGGAGUUGGUAGGGAGGGUCUGUGGGGGAUCUGUAAAAGGUCUCUAUAGAGGAUCUAUAGGGGAUGGGGGGGGGGGGGUUAUAGGGGUGUCCUGGGAGGGUCUGUAGGGGGGCAGUGGGGGUGUCUGGGGGGGGUAUGGGGAUAUAUGAGGGGAUCUGUAGGGGGGUCUGGGAGGGGGUGAGGGGGGUACUUAUGGGGUAUAGGGGGAAAUGUGGUUAUUUGGGGGCAUCUGGAGGGGUAUUUAUGGGGUAUAGGGGGAAAUGGGGGUACUUAUGGGGUAUAGGGGGAAAUGUGGUUAUUUGGGGGGGUAUUUAUGGGGUAUAGGGGGAAAUGUGGUUAUUUGGGGGCAUCUGGAGGGGUAUUUAUGGGGUAUAGGGGGAAAUGUGGUUAUUUGGGGGCAUCUGGAGGGGGGUACUUAUGGGGUAUAGGGAGAAAUAUGGUUAUUUGGAGGGGUACAUAUGGGGUAUAGGGGGAAAUGUGGUUAUUUGGGGGCAUCUGGAGGGGUACAUAUGGGGUAUAGGGGGAAAUGUGGUUAUUUGGGGCAUCUGGAGGGGUAUUAAUGGGGUAUAGGGGGAAAUACGUUUAUCUGGGGGGGUUAUAUAGGGGUCUGGGGGGUAUUGGGUGGGGAUGCCUGGAGGGAUCUAUGGGGGGGGGGUGGGAAUAGAUCCUAUAGGGUAUGCUAUAGGGCCCGGCCCCUCUCGAGGCAGCGCUGCCCCAUGCGUUCCUCCCCCCCGGGGUCGGGCCCCAGAGUGAGGAGGGGGCAAACCUACGGCCGGCGGCUCUUAUUCCCCCCCCACCCCCCCCAAAAUUGGAGCCGUCGGUAUACAGCAGCCCCCACAAACCCUAUAGGGGAAGGAGCAGCUCCUGUGGAUCCUAUAGACCCCCCCCCCCCCCCCCAUUAUAAGGGUUGGGGUGAAGGAGAAGGAAUGGCUGUGGUGGAGGCGUUGGGACAACGGGACGGUGGCGGAGUGGUGAGACGUGGGUAGGAUGGGGGCGUCAAUGGGGGGACAGUGGUGGCAGUGGAAGGGAUGGGGACAAAAUGGAGUCAAUGGAGAUGAAUGGAGGAGAGAACGGUGGCAUGGAAAUGAAUGGGGGACAAAGUGGUGACAUUGGAAUGAAUGGGGGGCAAAAUGGCAUUGGAAUGGAUGAAUGGGGGACAAAAUGGAGUCAAUGGAGAUGAAUGGGGGGCAAAAUGGUGGCAUUGAAACGAAUGGGGGACAAAAUGGAGUCAAUGGAAAUGAAUGGGGGACAAAAUGGUGGCGUUGGAAUGAAUGGGGGACAAAAUGGAGUCAAUGGAGAUGAAUGGGGGGCAAAAUGGUGGCAGUGGAGAUGAAUGGGGGACAAAAUGGAGUCAAUGGAGAUGAAUGGGGGGCAAAAUGGUGGCAUUGAAAUGAAUGGGGGACAAAAUGGUGGCAGUGGAAAUGAAUGGGGGACGAAAUGGAAUCAGUGGAGAUGAAUGGGGGGCAAAACAGAGUCAAUGGAGAUGAAUGGAGGAGAAAAUGGCAUCAAUGGAAAUGAAUGGAGGAGAAAAUGGCGUCAAUGGAAAUGAAUGAGGGGCAAAAUGGUGGCAUUGGAAUGAAUGGGGGACAAAAUGGCAUUGGAAUGAAUGAAUGGGGGAUGAAAUGGAGUCAAUGGAGAUGAAUGGGGGACAAAAUGGUGGCAUUGAAAUGAACGGGGGGCAAAACAGAGUCAAUGGAGAUGAAUGGAGGAGAAAAUGGCGUCAAUGGAAAUGAAUGGGGGACAAAAUGGCAUUGGAAUGAAUGAAUGGGGGACAAAAUGGAGUCAGUGGAAAUGAAUGGGGGACAAAAUGGCAGCAUUGGAAUGAAUGGGGGACAAAAUGGCAUUGGAAUGAAUGAAUGGGGGACAAAAUGGAGUCAAUGGAGAUGAAUGGGGGACAAAAUGGUGGCAUUGAAAUGAACGGGGGGCAAAACAGAGUCAAUGGAGAUGAAUGGAGGAGAAAAUGGCGUCAAUGGAAAUGAAUGGGGGACAAAAUGGCAUUGGAAUGAAUGAAUGGGGGACAAAAUGGAGUCAGUGGAAAUGAAUGGGGGACAAAAUGGCGGCAUUGGAAUGAAUGGGGGACAAAAUGGCAUUGGAAUGAAUGAAUGGGGGGCGAAAUGGAGCCAAUGGAGAUGAAUGGGGGACAAAAUGGCGGCCCCAAAAUGGCGGCCCCGCAGUGGUGGCCCAAUGGUGGCGCUGCAGUGGGGUGGGGGUGGCAAUAAAGACUUUUCACCCCCCCAAAAAUGGCUCUUUUUAACCUUUUUUUUUUUACCCCCAUUCUCAAUGGAGGUUUUUGGACCCUCCCCCCCCCCCCCCCCCCAAAAUCCCAUUCCUCCCCCCCCGGAUUUCCCCAUUAUCCCCACAAAUCUUCUGUGCCCCCCCCCAAAAAUGAAUGGUUUCCCCUUUAGAGCUCUUUUUUAUGGGGGAUAUUGGGUUAUUUGGGGGGGAAAUUGGGUUAUUUGGGGGAAAUUGGGUUAUUUUGGGGGGAAAUGGGGUUAUUUGGGGGGGAAAUAUGGGUUAUUUGGGGGGGAAAGAGGAAAUUUGGG